rnacentral:tRNA from 1 species
GAGAUAAUAGUUUAACUGGAAAAACGUAUUCCUACCCCGAAUGAAUACGGGUUCAAAUCCCGUUUAUCUCC